rnacentral:snRNA from 1 species
UAUAAAACUUUGGCCUUACAUAGCACUAAAAUUGAAAGGAACAAUACAGAAGAUUAGCAUGGCCCCUGCACAAAGAUGGCAUGCAAAUUUGUGAAACAUUCCUUAUUUUU